CGACUGAGUCCUUGAGUCUCCUGGGAUGUUCAUAUGAAUCCCCUUGAAGCUUUAAUUUGAUAAGACCUCAGUGGAGACUGCUGAACCCCUGGGAUUUAACAUCAUAUAUUAUUCAUUGUUGCUGUUGCCACAGACGUGCUGAUUUUGCCCCUGCUGAGCAAGGCACUUCUGCACAUGGGAACUUGAUGGCUAACCACACUGCAUGUUCUUCAGGCAGGGCCUAUCCCAGAACGUUCCAAGCUGUCUGCUAGCAAGUCUGCAUUAACUCCCUCAAUGCUGCAUGCACGGUGUCCCUGAGUCCUUCACCACCCGCCCCGCCACCAGAGCCAGUCUUUUUAAGAAUUUUGCCUGGGCUGUGUUUUUCAAAGUGCCUCUCUCUAGUGUGCAUCUCUUCUUAAUCACAGAAAGCAGAUCUGAGAGCUUCUAAUGCACUUCUCUAUUACUUCAAGAACACUGUGUAUAAUAAUAAACUCUACAGAAAUAAACCAAAUACAGGGUCUUUUCCACCCAGGUUGGAGUGAAGUGGCCCAAUAUCAACUCAUUGCAACCUCUGCCUCCUGGCUCAGACUCUCCUCCAGCCUCAGUCUUCCGAGUAGCUGGGACCACAGGUGCACACCACCACACCUGGCUAAUUUUCUGUAUAAAAAUAAAUAAUUUUUCUAAUGCUUUAUCCUGAAUCUGAAUUUGGGCUUCAGCUGUGAGGUUCACAGCAGCAGAGCUACUGCCAGAUCAACUGGUUA
rnacentral:lncRNA from 10 species